rnacentral:snRNA from 1 species
GUACUUGCUUCAGCAGCACAUAUGCUAAAAUUGGAAUGAUACAGAGAAAAUUAGCAUGGCCCCUGGGCUAUGAUGACAUGCAAAUUUAUGAAGUGUUCCAUAUUUUU